CAUACACACACACACAGCACGCACACACACGUGCACACACACACACAUACAUGUACAUACAAUGAAUUUUGAUGACACCCCCAUUAGCCAUCCCCUAUACUCAAUUCCUCCCAAUCAUCAGGGCUGUCACAACGUUCUUCACCACAUUGUUAGACAGGAAGUCGAUAGUCUCAACGGAACUUAUGGAACAUGGCCAAGUCUGAGUUUACUCAAGACUCUCUUGGAGAUAGAGCUUCAAUCAGUAAAGGCAUAUUUCACAAGGCAACCAUGGCUUUUACCUCAGAUAAUGAUUUUAAAUUUGAGGAGCCUGAGGCUUUCCUCGUUAUCAAAGCAUGUCUCAUCUCCAGACUCAUACUGUGGGUUGGCCUUACACACAUCUCAGAUGCACCA